rnacentral:ncRNA from 2 species
CUAUAUUUGCAUCGAACCGGUUUGCAUAAGGCUUUCUUCCUUAGCAAUUAAAAGGGAAUCGGGUGCAACUCCCGAACAGUCCCGCUGCUGUGAAGUUUUACGUCAAACAUUCCGUUGGAUACCUGUUGCCACUGAUCAAAUUCGGAAGCGAAAGAGGUUGGGAAGGCGUUCGGAAUGGAAACUGAGUCAGAAGACCUGCCGUUCGAUUGCGCUUCUU